rnacentral:rRNA from 1 species
ACCCCUUUCUCUGGGAAGAAAGUUGUGAAAGCAACCUGACGGUACCAGAGGAAUCAGCAUCGGCUAACUCCGUGCCAGCAGCCGCGGUAAGACGGAGGAUGCAAGCGUUAUCCGGAAUGAUUGGGCGUAAAGCGUCCGCAGGUGGCAGUUCAAGUCUGCUGUCAAAGACCGGGGCUUAACUUCGGAAAGGCAGUGGAAACUGAACAGCUAGAGUAUGGUAGGGGCAGAGGGAAUUCCUGGUGUAGCGGUGAAAUGCGUAGAGAUCAGGAAGAACAUCGGUGGCGAAGGCGCUCUGCUG